CCCACUCUUUUAUUCUUUUUUUUUUUAGCCUUAAUAUUACAGUUAUGACCAUCACAUGGUAUAGCACAGAUCUCUGCAAUUAUAUACAUAAAGUUUGAAAGCCUCUAAUUUGGUAGCAGUGAGGGAUGGCUGUGCUUUAAAUGACAUCAUGAAAUAUAAAGGCUGAUGCAACAGCAGCUAGUGCUAAUGGGAGUGGACUAAAUGCUUUCAACCUCCCUUUUUCUUCCAGUGAAUGCAUAGUUAAAUAGCUAACGUGCCCAUUACUGUCACUAGGACGCUUGUUUUCAUCAAAGGUUGCAGCAUAGGUUAGUUUCAGCUCACACAGAAGACAGGAGAAUCUUCUUGGCAAUUCACAUUACAAAAAGCAUCUUAAUACACUGGAGAAUCUUUGGUUCAAAAUUCACUGCCAGCUGUGUUCUUACUAACUCUUACUGAAGUUAAUGUGUAUCACAGCAUAGUGACCUUACAAAAUAAACUACUUUUAUUUUUUUUCCUAGGUUGAAGGCCUUCAUGUCUUUUUCUCUUUUCUCCCCCUCUCCGCCUCGUAAACCUUUGCAAGCUGUUCUACUCAGCAUAUUUUACUCCUUAAACUCUGAGCUAUACAGCUGUCACUGGAGCCAGGCAAACAAGCGGAGCUGCAGAUGCAUGUGGUUAGCUGACUAGAAGGAUAUUUGAAACUGCUCAAGUCCCGAUGUAGCUACUAGCAUCACCAUGCAACUCAGGACUAUCAGAGAGAAAAGGAUGUCUAAGAGAGUCUUUGGGAGACUUCAGAACCAGCAUUAGAUGGCUGUGGCAAAUGCUGUGAGGAUUCAGGCUGGCAAAAAACUUCAUAACAACGUUCUUUUUUUUCUCUGUGAAAUUUUUCAGUCUCAAAAUAAAGAGGAAUGCAGACUUGUGUGUGACCUUGAAAACA